GGGGCCGUAGCUCAGUUGGGAGAGCGCCUGACCUGCAAUCAGGGGGUCGUCGGUUCAAGUCCGACCGGUUCCACCA
rnacentral:tRNA from 1 species